rnacentral:rRNA from 1 species
AUUGAACGCUGGCGGCAUGCCUUACACAUGCAAGUCGAACGGUAACAGGGAGCUUGCUCCGCUGACGAGUGGCGAACGGGUGAGUAAUGUAUCGGAACGUACCAUUCAGUGGGGGAUAACGUAGCGAAAGUUACGCUAAUACCGCAUAUUCUGUGCGCAGGAAAGCAGGGGAUCGCAAGACCUUGCGCUGAUUGAGCGGCCGAUAUCAGAUUAGCUAGUUGGUGAGGUAAAAGCUCACCAAGGCGACGAUCUGUAGCGGGUCUGAGAGGAUGAUCCGCCACACUGGAACUGAGACACGGUCCAGACUCCUACAGGAGGCAGCAGUGGGGAAUUUUGGACAAUGGGGGCAACCCUGAUCCAGCCAUGCCGCGUGAGUGAAGAGGGCCUUCGGGUUGUAAAGCUCUUUCAGCCGGGAAGAAAAUGCAUGGGUUAAUACCCUGUGCAGAUGACGGUACCGGAAUAAGAAGCACCGGCUAACUACGUG